GACAGCAGCAGCCGCGGGAAUACAGAGGGUGCGAGCGUUAAUCGGAUUUACUGGGCGUAAAGCGUGCGUAGGCGGCUUCUUAAGUCGGAUGUGAAAUCCCUGAGCUUAACUUAGGAAUUGCAUUCGAUACUGGGAAGCUAGAGUAUGGGAGAGGAUGGUAGAAUUCCAGGUGUAGCGGUGAAAUGCGUAGAGAUCUGGAGGAAUACCGAUGGCGAAGGCAGCCAUCUGGCCUAAUACUGACGCUGAGGUACGAAAGCAUGGGGAGCAAACAGGAUUAGAUACCCCAGUAGUCCCUGUCUCUUAUAC
rnacentral:rRNA from 1 species